rnacentral:rRNA from 1 species
UACGUAGGGUGCAAGCGUUGUCCGGAAUUAUUGGGCGUAAAGAGCUCGUAGGUGGCCUGUCGCGUCGGCUGUGAAAACUCGGGGCUCAACUCCGAGCUUGCAGUCGAUACGGGCAGGCUAGAGUUCGGCAGGGGAGACUGGAAUUCCUGGGUGUAGCGGUGAAAUGCGCAGAUAUCAGGAGGAACACCGGUGGCGAAGGCGGGUCUCUGGGCCGAUACUGACACUGAGGAGCGAAAGCGUGGGGAGCGAACAGG